AGUGGCGGACGGGUGAGUAACACGUAGGUAACCUGCCCCGGAGCGGGGGAUAACAUUUGGAAACAGAUGCUAAUACCGCAUAGCAAUAAAAGCCGCAUGGCUUUUAUUUGAAAGAUGGCUUUGGCUAUCACUCUGGGAUGGACCUGCGGUGCAUUAGCUAGUUGGUAAGGUAACGGCUUACCAAGGCGAUGAUGCAUAGCCGAGUUGAGAGACUGAUCGGCCACAAUGGAACUGAGACACGGUCCAUACUCCUACGGGAGGCAGCAGUAGGGAAUCUUCCACAAUGGGCGCAAGCCUGAUGGAGCAACACCGCGUGAGUGAAGAAGGGUUUCGGCUCGUAAAGCUCUGUUGUUGGAGAAGAACGUGCGUGAGAGUAACUGUUCAUGCAGUGACGGUAUCCAACCAGAAAGUCACGGCUAACUACGUGCCAGCAGCCGCGGUAAUACGUAGGUGGCAAGCGUUAUCCGGAUUUAUUGGGCGUAAAGCGAGCGCAAGCGGUUGCUUAGGUCUGAUGUGAAAGCCUUCGGCUUAACCGGAGUAGUGCAUUGGAAACUGGGAGACUUGAGUGCAGAAGAGGAGAGUGGAACUCCAUGUGUAGCGGUGAAAUGCGUAGAUAUAUGGAAGAACACCAGUGGCGAAAGCGGCUCUCUGGUCUGUAACUGACGCUNANGUUCGAAAGCGUGGGUAGCAAACAGGAUUAGAUACCCUGGUA
rnacentral:rRNA from 1 species